rnacentral:rRNA from 1 species
UACGUAGGGGGCAAGCGUUGUCCGGAUUUAUUGGGCGUAAAGAGCGUGUAGGCGGCCAUACAGGUCAGCUGUGAAAACUCGAGGCUCAACCUCGGGCCUGCAGUGGGUACGGGCAGACUAGAGUGCGGUAGGGGAGAUUGGAAUUCCUGGUGUAGCGGUGGAAUGCGCAGAUAUCAGGAGGAACACCAAUGGCGAAGGCAGAUCUCUGGGCCGUAACUGACGCUGAGGAGCGAAAGCAUGGGAGCGAACAGG